AUGGCGCAGGCGCCAGCCAAUUUGUCUCCAGUAGACCUUGUCGUUGUUCAAGCAGUGCAGGCACGCCGUGGGGUUGCCCGCAAAGACACAGGAGAACUCGUGGUGCAGUCGAACACAAUGGGCCUGCAGAUGGACUCCUGCCUCCUGCCUGGUCACGGUCACAUUGCAUUUGGCCUGGUCUCUGCUCACAAAGCUGCCAGUGACAAUGACCUGGGUUGGCGGGCUUGUGGACACUAUCACGGGCUUCUCCAGAGGAACCCACCCAUCCUGCUCUGCCUCCAAAUUCAUGUCAUCCUCUUCUCCACUUUGGGCCUCUGUCAGGAGCCCCUGAGCAGCCAGCAGGAGGACGGAGAGCAGGUGUGGAGCAAGUGGUCUACUUCCUUCCCAGGAACAUCAGUUACUGCAGAGAUUACUAGAUUCAAUCCACACUGGGAGGAAGAAGAGAAGUCCAAUUCUAUCAGACACCUACUGCACGCUGAGCACUGGUCCAGCGUUCCAGUCUCACCUUGUUUAAUCCACAGAAAACCCCGCAACCAGGCUGAUUACAGGAACAGCCCCAAGAAGGAGUCCUGGCAGUGAGGCCCGGCCAGUCACCCCUGCUCUGCACUGCUCACCUAACUUUGAGACAAUGCUGGCAAAAGGAAGACAACUGUGAACCAAGCAGGAGUUAGCACUGAUAAGUUGAUUCACGUAAGCUGAGAUCUUUUCCCAAAAUGAAAGAAUUGUGGGGCUCGUGCAGUUGCGCAAUGGGUUAAUCCUCCUCUUGUGGCGCCAGCAUCCCAUGUGGCACCGAUUCUAGUCCCGGCUGCUCCUUUUCCAAUCCAGCUCUCUGCUGUGGCCUGGGAAAGCAGUUUAAGAUGGCCCAAGUACUUGCGCCCCUGUACCCAGGUGGGAGAACAGGAAGGAGAACCUGGCUCCUGGCUUCAGAUCAGCGCAGUUCUAGCACUUGAACCAUUGGGGGAGCGAACCAACGGAAGGAAGACUUUUCUCUCUGUGUCUGCCUCUCACUAUCUGUAACUCUACCUGUCAGAUAAAUAAAUAAAAUCUUAAAAAAAGAUGGAAAUUUGUU
ensembl:lncRNA